rnacentral:rRNA from 1 species
GGAGAAAAGCAGGGGAUCGCAAGACCUCUCACUAUUGGAGCGGCCGAAGCCUGAUUAGCUAGUUGGUGGGGUAAAAGCCUACCAAGGCGACGAUCAGUAGCUGGUUUGAGAGAACGACCAGCCACACUGGGACUGAGACACGGCCCAGACUCCUACGGGAGGCAGCAGUGGGGAAUUUUGGACAAUGGGGGGCAACCCUGAUCCAGCCAUGCCGCGUGCGGGAAGAAGGCCUUCGGGUUGUAAACCGCUUUUGUUCGGGAAGAAAUCGACUCCGCUAAUACCGGGGUUGGAUGACGGUACCGGAAGAAUAAGCACCGGCUAACUACGUGCCAGCAGCCGCGGUAAUACGUAGGGUGCAAGCGUUAAUCGGAAUUACUGGGCGUAAAGCGUGCGCAGGCGGUUUCGCAAGUCAGAUGUGAAAGCCCCGGGCUUAACCUGGGAACUGCGUUUGAAACUACAAAGCUA